UACGUAGGGUGCAAGCGUUAAUCGGAAUUACUGGGCGUAAAGCGUGCGCAGGGGGUUUUGUAAGUCUGAUGUGAAAUCCCCGGGCUCAACCUGGGAAUUGCAUUGGAGACUGCAAGGCUAGAAUCUGGCAGAGGGGGGUAGAAUUCCACGUGUAGCAGUGAAAUGCGUAGAGAUGUGGAGGAACACCGAUGGCGAAGGCAGCCCCCUGGGUCAAGAUUGACGCUCAUGCACGAAAGCGUGGGGAGCAAACAGG
rnacentral:rRNA from 1 species